GACGAACGCUGGCGGCGUGCCUAAUACAUGCAAGUAGAACGCUGAAGGAGGAGCUUGCUUCUCUGGAUGAGUUGCGAACGGGUGAGUAACGCGUAGGUAACCUGCCUGGUAGCGGGGGAUAACUAUUGGAAACGAUAGCUAAUACCGCAUAAUAGUAGAUGUUGCAUGACAUUUGCUUAAAAGGUGCAAUUGCAUCACUACCAGAUGGACCUGCGUUGUAUUAGCUAGUUGGUGGGGUAACGGCUCACCAAGGCGACGAUACAUAGCCGACCUGAGAGGGUGAUCGGCCACACUGGGACUGAGACACGGCCCAGACUCCUACGGGAGGCAGCAGUAGGGAAUCUUCGGCAAUGGACGGAAGACUGACCGAGCAACGCCGCGUGAGUGAAGAAGGUUUUCGGAUCGUAAAGCUCUGUUGUAAGAGAAGAACGAGUGUGAGAGUGGAAAGUUCACACUGUGACGGUAUCUUACCAGAAAGGGACGGCUAACUACGUG
rnacentral:rRNA from 1 species